CAGCCGCCGCGGUAAUACGUAGGUGGCAAGCGUUGUCCGGAAUUAUUGGGCGUAAAGGGCUCGCAGGCGGUUUCUUAAGCCUGAUGUGAAAGCCCCCGGCUCAACCGGGGAGGGUCAUUGGAAACUGGGAAACUUGAGUGCAGAAGAGGAGAGUGGAAUUCCACGUGUAGCGGUGAAAUGCGUAGAGAUGUGGAGGAACACCAGUGGCGAAGGCGACUCUCUGGUCUGUAACUGACGCUGAGGAGCGAAAGCGUGGGGAGCGAACAGGAUUAGAUACCCCGGUAGUCCCUGUCUCUUAUAC
rnacentral:rRNA from 1 species